GUUUGAUUCCCCAGAUAUGAAUAUUUUUGCGUUCUCAUGAAUUGAUUAAGCUCUGCUUUGCCAUGAUAGUAGGAGGUAGCUCUGUGUUGUUAAGUUCUUAUUUAAUACUUGCAGUCGGAUCAUUUAUUUAUUUAUUUAUUUUGGGUCUUUUUGGUCUUCAAAUUUCAAAAACACGCUUAGGGUACAAAGAAGACACCAUGGAAAAAGAUAAUCAAGAAAAUUAAAAACCAAAAAAAAAAAAAAAAAAAAAAAAAAAAAAAAGAAAGAAAGAAAGAAAGAAAAAAGGAAAACACAAAGUAAGCAGUUAAAAAAAAAUCCAAAAUUUAUUAGAAACUAGUUCUUUGUCUGAAUUUAUGUCUUUUUAUUAUUUGGUUUGUAACUAGUUCUUGGAACGCAUUUUCUUGCUACGGUGAUUUUUUUUUUUUUAAAUUAUUUUGCCAUCUGUGUAUAUUUGUUUUGGUGGAAAAGUAAUUUACAUUUCUAAUUUCCUGGAGCAAACUAAGCACCAUUUUGGAUAUGAGUUACUAAUAAUGCAUAAUGAUUUUCUAGUUCUGUAUUUUAGGUUACUUUCUAAAGGAUUAGAAUAAUUUGAUGCGUUAAUGGGUAUGUUUCUCCAAUUUAAGUUGUGGGUUGGAACCCAUUUUCUUUUAUCCUGUAUUAUAUGAUUUAUAUCUUACAGAAGAAAAAGCAGCCAUUUCCAUCUGUUAGACUGUGGUGAGCUUUGUUUUUGGAUUAGGCCAGUAGCUUUUGCUGAGUAGCAAAAGCUAGCUGUGGGAUUUGGCUACAUUGAUUGUACGGAUAAAUUGCUGUCUUCUUUUUCCUGUGGUGUUGGAAAUGAAUCCUACACCUCUAGAGCUGUUAUAUUACAGACCAGACUGAAACUCAUUAUAUAGUCAUCUGUCCACAACAAGACCAAUGAAAGUAUGCUCAAACAUGUUGAUUGGGUCGCUAUCCAACCGUACCCAGAUAAUCAUUAAAGGGAGAUUCCUCCAAAGCCAGAAGUUUAAGCAGAAGGUUGCAUUUGAGGGACACAAAUGGCUUUUUACAAAAUCCACAUGAGGAGCCGGUGGAACCAUCAAUUAGAGACUCUUUUGAUGCAUGUGUUCAACAAGGGACAAAUAGGGUUUUUGUAAGUCCAUUUUUCCUCUUCCUGGAAGACACUGGCACCAGGUAGCUCAGCAUAAUAACUUGAUAAAUUGGAUAGGCUUUGUUUUAUUUCGUAGGAUAUUCCUUCUCUAACAGCUGAAGCUGCAAAAGGAGCAUCCUGAUAUUUCAUAUAUUGUAACUGCACCUCUUAGCCUCUAUGAACUACUUGUGGAUGUUGUCAAUGACAGGAUCAAAUACUGCAUAAGCCAUGUAGCUGGAGAUGCAAACGAGUGUUCUGUCUGUGCUGGAACAAGCAAGUGCAGGCUUUACUGAUAUACAAAAAUGCACAACAAAAUAGGAUGGUACCUUAUGACAAGGAUUCAGCGGCGCCAGAGAUACCUAAAAAUAUGCCGUGACCUAGGAACUCAAGCACUGGGAGUUCUUCCCCCGACCACAAAGUAAAUUCAGUUCACAGGGCAAUAAUCUACUGAUACCUGUAAGUUUUUUGAGUCAUUCAAUUAGACAAUUCUCAGAAGAAGAUAAAAAUAUUACAUGGACUUUGUUUUGUGUAGUU